CCCCGCCUACGGGACGCAGCAGUGAGGAAUAUUGGUCAAUGGCCGGGAGGCUGAACCAGCCAAGUCGCGUGAGGGAAGACGGCCCUACGGGUUGUAAACCUCUUUUGUCAGGGAGCAAGGUGCAGGUCGGGACCUGCUGUGAGAGUACCUGAAGAAAAAGCAUCGGCUAACUCCGUGCCAGCAGCCGCGGUAAUACGGAGGAUGCGAGCGUUAUCCGGAUUUAUUGGGUUUAAAGGGUGCGCAGGCGGAGGCACAAGUCAGCGGUAAAAUGGCGGGGCUCAACCCCGCCCCGCCGUU
rnacentral:rRNA from 1 species